rnacentral:tRNA from 1 species
UGGAGAAAGACAUAAUGGUUAUGGUAUUGGCUUGAAACCAAUUAAAGGGGGUUCGAUUCCUUCCUUUCUUAAUUAUU